rnacentral:rRNA from 1 species
CUAAUACAUGCAAGUCGGACGGGAUCCAUCGGAGAGCUUGCUCGAAGAUGGUGAGAGUGGCGCACGGGUGCGUAACGCGUGAGCAACCUACCUCUAUCAGGGGGAUAGCCUCUCGAAAGAGAGAUUAACACCGCAUAAUAUAAUCUACCGGCAUCGGGGGAUUAUUAAAUAUUUAUAGGAUAGAGAUGGGCUCGCGUGACAUUAGCUAGUUGGUAGGGUAACGGCUUACCAAGGCGACGAUGUCUAGGGGCUCUGAGAGGAGAAUCCCCCACACUGGUACUGAGACACGGACCAGACUCCUACGGGAGGCAGCAGUAAGGAAUAUUGGUCAAUGGGCGGAAGCCUGAACCAGCCAUGCCGCGUGCAGGAUGACUGCCCUAUGGGUUGUAAACUGCUUUUGUCCAGGAAUAAACCUUUCUACGUGUAGAGAGCUGAAUGUACUGGAAGAAUAAGGAUCGGCUAACUCCGUGCCAGCAGCCGCGGUAAUACGGAGGAUCCGAGCGUUAUCCGGAUUUAUUGGGUUUAAAGGGUGCGUAGGCGGCCUAUUAAGUCAGGGGUGAAAUACGGUGGCUCAACCAUCGCAGUGCCUUUGAUACUGACAGGCUUGAAUCCAUUUGAAGUGGGCGGAAUAAGACAAGUAGCGGUGAAAUGCAUAGAUAUGUCUUAGAACUCCGAUUGCGAAGGCAGCUCACUAAGCUGGUAUUGACGCUGAUGCACGAAAGCGUGGGGAUCGAACAGGAUUAGAUACCCUGGUAGUCCACGCCCUAAACGAUGAUA